AACGAACGCUGGCGGCAGGCCUAACACAUGCAAGUCGAACGAAGUCUUCGGACUUAGUGGCGCACGGGUGAGUAACACGUGGGAAUAUACCUUACGCUGGGGGAUAACAUCGGGAAACUGAUGCUAAUACCGCAUACGCCCUUCGGGGGUAAGAUUUAUCGGCGAAGGAUUAGCCCGCGUCCGAUUAGCUAGUUGGUGAGGUAAUGGCUCACCAAGGCUCCGAUCGGUAGCUGGUCUGAGAGGAUGACCAGCCACACUGGGACUGAGACACGGCCCAGACUCCUACGGGAGGCAGCAGUGGGGAAUAUUGGACAAUGGGCGCAAGCCUGAUCCAGCCAUGCCGCGUGAGUGAUGAAUGCCUUAGGGUUGUAAAGCUCUUUCACCCACGACGAUGAUGACGGUAGUGGGAGAAGAAGCCCCGGCUAACUUCGUG
rnacentral:rRNA from 1 species